AAUAAGCUUCCUUCUACUACUUUUACAGUACUGCUCACAGUAACACUACCUUAAACGUGGCACUUUGGUGACUGACACUGACCGAUUAAUUUAGCUGGAAGCACAAACUGAGGGGGGAUAAGAAAGAAUUCACACAAAAAGUUUUUCAAAAAAGCUGCUGUUGUCCAGAAGAACAUUCUGAGUGGCUUCUAUAAGCUCCUCUUUGUGUUCUGAGACGUGUGGCUCUAUACUGAGCUUCUGGGAGGCUAGAAGCACAUGCUGACCCGACACCAUGAGAGACUCCAGCAGUGGACUCAUUUCCAUCUUCAGGACUUCAUCAUCACAACCUGACAUCACUCUGGAGACAAGGAAGCCUGAGAAGUAACUGACCUUGAUGCCACAGCAGCCAUGUUCUUGGAGGCCUUGGCCACAGCGUGAGCAGCCGCCUCCAGCUGGGUGAACUGUUCCGGCUCAUCCUCGCUCUCAGACAGCAGCUUGAGGUAACACAGCUGAGCGGCGAAUGGGGCCAUAAGCUGCUCUAUCGAGCUGGUCUUUAUCAAGCCAUCUACUGUAGACUCCAUCACUGACGAGAGAAACAUUAAUCUUAGCUGAUUUAUUAUAUUUACACACUAUAAUCAUCACAGUACUGUGUUCAGGUGAACAUGAAAAAACUGGAUUCAGAGACUCUCAUACUCAGACUUUAAACAUUAUUUAAUAAAAUAAUAUUUUAAAAGUAUAAAGUAUAAAUCCAGAGUUAUAUAUUGAGGAAAUAGGUGUGCUGUCUCUCUGGUAAAGCCAUGUUUAAAAAUAAAGAGAACUAAAAAACUAGUACAGUGUUAAAUAUUACAAAAUUACUCACAGUCCAACACAAUGUACCGCUCUUGCUCUUUAAAAGCAGGUAAAUUGAUUAAAUAAUAAGAAAUAGUUGUGUUAUUACCUGCCGUUGCAGCAGUGCUGUGCAGCUACCUGGAACAUGGUAGGAAUAAAUGAAUAAUGCAGUUCAUUUGCAGGAAAGUGAUUGUGAUUGGCUCUCUCGUGUCUAAUGGCAACCAGUGUCAUCUGAUCCAAACAAUGGCCUCAUUAAAUAUUUAUAUUUUUAAAGAGUAGAAAUGUUAUCACAGUGGAUAGAAUCUGUAAGAAUGAAGGGCUAUACCCAGAGAAUAAAUUACAACACCAAUAUAUUUACAUUUAAUCUGUUUAGAUGUUUGGAUAUUUAGGAUCCUGUUGGACUAAAUUUUGUUUUAAUUCUAAUGAUAAUCCUAGAAGUAUUCUGCAACAUUGAUCAAAACCUACCCUAAAGAGUCACGAGAGAGUAUGUUAGACUACUUUGGCUAAUUGUUUAAUACACUGAAAAAAAUUGUGUGCUUGAUCUACUUAAAAAAAUCAUGUCAACUUUUUGCAUCAGAUAAUUAGGUAGAUCAAGCAAGAGUAGUCAUUGUAUUUACUACUUAAUUUUCUCAAGUAGUGCUAACAUACUUUUUCAAAUAGUUACAACUUAAUUUUCUCAAGUAGGGCUAACAUACUUUUUCAGGUAGUGUCAAUAGACUCUUUUAAGUAUUAAGUAUACACUGCUGCCUUAAAAAGUGUUUAAUUUGUCCUAGUUAAUCUGUCCUAGAAAGAGCAUUGUGACACAGGUAGUGACUAAAACCCUAGUAAAUACAACAAUACUUUUGUUUGUUGUGCAGGUGAAUAUAUCUAGUUUUUAAUUACUCCACAUUUGUUCAAACUAUAAGACAUUGUGUAUUUUUCCUUAAUAUAAUUUAUUUAUGUAAUCCCAACAAAUCUUUUUUAGGUA